UUACUAAAAACACCUGAGGUGGCCCUUUACUUGCCCCUGACAAGCAGGCAAUUGUUAACCUGCAGCUGAGCCCAGCAGUACGACCCUGAAAGAACACUGGAAGAUAAAGCAGUUUCUACUCCAACUACCUAAAUUAUGUUUCUCAAAGCCAAAGCAAAGUUGGAAAAGGCGGCUGUGAGCAGAGGAUUAAUGAGGCCAAGGUAAUCCAGCGUCUCCCAGCCCCUCCUGUCCUUCAUGCUGAGGUGCCCUUGGGUAAGACACUGAACCCCAAACUGCUGCGAUGGCCAGGCCAGCACCUUGCUUGGUACCUGCUAUUAGUGUGUGAGUGUAUGUAAAUGACUAUUCAUGAUG